CUUCAGAUACGCAGACCUGCAUCUUGCAAGAAGGUGUUUGCAAGGCCAAGUGCAAUGACACCAGGGCCCUGCUAGAACUGGAUCUUGGGACCUGCAAAAAUGGGGAACAGAGAUGUUGCCGCCCUCAGAAAUUGCUUUUGGGGCAUGAGGAGAUCUCUAACUGAUGCCAGCUGUGAAGACUGCUUCCCUUUCCUUGGGUUUGUGCUUCUGUUCAGGAUCACCAUCACUGAAAAGGCUAUAAUUCCAAAAAAUUUAGUUCAAUUUCAGAUUACUGUACUUUUAAUGGAAAUCAG